UGAACGCUGGCGGCGUGCCUACUACAUGCAAGUCGAGCGAACGGACGAGAAGCUUGCUUCUCUGAUGUUAGCGGCGGACGGGUGAGUAACACGUGGAUAACCUACCUAUAAGACUGGGAUAACUUCGGGAAACCGGAGCUAAUACCGGAUAAUAUUUUGAACCGCAUGGUUCAAAAGUGAAAGACGGUCUUGCUGUCACUUAUAGAUGGAUCCGCGCUGCAUUAGCUAGUUGGUAAGGUAACGGCUUACCAAGGCAACGAUGCAUAGCCGACCUGAGAGGGUGAUCGGCCACACUGGAACUGAGACACGGUCCAGACUCCUACGGGAGGCAGCAGUAGGGAAUCUUCCGCAAUGGGCGAAAGCCUGACGGAGCAACGCCGCGUGAGUGAUGAAGGUCUUCGGAUCGUAAAACUCUGUUAUUAGGGAAGAACAUAUGUGUAAGUAACUGUGCACAUCUUGACGGUACCUAAUCAGAAAGCCACGGCUAACUACGUG
rnacentral:rRNA from 1 species